rnacentral:tRNA from 1 species
GGCUGGCUCAGUGGUUAGAGCAUGGACCUCGUAACCGAAAGGUUGCGGGAUCGAAUCCUGCUAGAGGCUG